GACGAACGCUGGAGGCGUGCUUAACACAUGCAAGUCGAACGGAAAGGCCCUGCUUGCAGGGUACUCGAGUGGCGAACGGGUGAGUAACACGUGGGUGAUCUGCCCUGCACUUCGGGAUAAGCCUGGGAAACUGGGUCUAAUACCGGAUAUGACCUUCCAUGUAGUGUGGGGGGUGGAAAGAUUUAUCGGUGUGGGAUGAGCCCGCGGCCUAUCAGCUUGUUGGUGGGGUAAUGGCCUACCAAGGCGUCGACGGGUAGCCGGCCUGAGAGGGUGGACGGCCACAUUGGGACUGAGAUACGGCCCAGACUCCUACGGGAGGCAGCAGUGGGGAAUAUUGCACAAUGGGCGGAAGCCUGAUGCAGCGACGCCGCGUGGGGGAUGACGGCCUUCGGGUUGUAAACCUCUUUCGACAGGGACGAAGCUUCGGUGACGGUACCUGUAUAAGAAGCACCGGCUAACUACGUG
rnacentral:rRNA from 1 species